GACGUAGGGCGCGAGCGUUGUCCGGAUUUAUUGGGCGUAAAGAGCUCGUAGGCGGUCUGUCGCGUCUGCUGUGAAAACUCAGGGCUUAACCCUGAGCUUGCAGUGGGUACGGGCAGACUAGAGUGCGGUAGGGGAGACUGGAAUUCCUGGUGUAGCGGUGAAAUGCGCAGAUAUCGGGAGGAACACCGGUGGCGAAGGCGGUUCUCUGGGCCUUACCUGACGCUGAGGAGCGAAAGCGUGGGGAGCGAACAGG
rnacentral:rRNA from 1 species